UUCACUGACGAUGAGUCCUGAUCCCCAAAGUGAAAUCCAUUGCUGUAUAACAGUGCUGGAAAGCGAAAGACUAUAUUUUCCCACCCACUUCAGCUGAAGUUCCAGCCUUUUCUAUCCUCUGAUUGACCCCUUGUGAAGAACUGGAGUCACACAGUUGUCACUCAUGAGAGAGGUCACACACUCAAGCAAAUAACAGAUCUUUCAUUUAAGUGACGGCACUUCAAAGUGAAUAUGGGUAUUCUCAACUCCUCAUAUCUUAAAAAAGAAAAAAAAAAAAGGAAGAAUUAAUGGGACUGGAAAUUUUAAAACAACAGAUGUACUAAAAGUGUGAUUAGUGCCUGAGUUAGACAUACGGGGGAGUGUCACCACUUUAUGUAGCUUUGGCUGAGCACUGAUUGUAUCGGAGAGGAACUGGAGCCCCAGAGUCAGGCUGAGACCAUCUCUAGGAAAUGACUGCUGAUUUCCCUUGGAGUGCAAGAGAUAAGGCGCUGUUUCUCUCUAAACAUAGCUCUCUGACUGCUCUGUGGUUAACUAGAUGCCCUGCUAAGAAUUGUGGGUAAUUCAUUGAAGGAUGAAUAUUGAAACGCGCUGUGCGGUGAGGGAGGAAAUCUUGCUCCCAAACCCUGGCUGCUUUAUUUCGAAGGAAUAGAGAAGUGGAGAGGGACCAGCUCUCUACAUCCUCCACUAAAGGGCCAACACACAUGAGCUGAACUCCAGAAUUCAAGAUCAGAAAGAGACUCCCAAUAGUACCACUUGGGCUAAAGUGACAUUUCUUCCAUCUGGCCCCAGUUUUUUUUUUUUCUUCCCCUCCACAGAGCUACAUACUUCAGUCAUGACGCCUUAAGCAAGAAAAUAACUUCUUCAGACAGUGGCUGAGAUAAGAAAGACAAGGCAAAGCUUAGUCCUGAGUACAAUGGUGUGCAUGUUGAUAUCACUGAGUUAUGAACUAUUUCCUUUUAAUCCAGUUUCAAAAGAUAACUUCCUCCAUAUGCAAUUAAUUCCACAUAUAACUACAAGGAACUGCAUAUUUUCGAACAGUUGUGUCAUCAUUAUGAAUGUUUAAACAAUCUCUGUAGUCUCUUUCCCACAAACUGAUUUAACAUGUAUAUAAAGAGGCUUUCGGAAUGAGCACUUUACAUUUGCUUCUCAAACUUCAGCGUCUGUUUUUAGUAAAUAUUGAAGAUGAAACUUCCCCCAUUCAUGCCUGGAGCACUGGCCAAUUGCAACUCAGGAAUGCAGUUCUUGGGCUUUUCAUGAAUAAAAUUCUCUGGUUGUGAACCUAGUCUUUCUCAGGCCUUGUCAACAGGACCAAAACUGAAUGGAUGUAGGAUAAAGCACUCAUGGCAAGUGGCUGAGCUGGCCACAGAUUAUCCUAAUUAAUAUCAAGAGAGCAUGAGCCACACAGACCUGUUCAAGUCCUGACUCUGCUACAGAUGGGGGACUGUGUAUCCCAGUGUGUCCAUAGUGCUCCAGUGUAACUAUGAAUAGUGGCCCUUUCAAAAAUGUCCCAGUUCGGGACAUUCCUAGUGGUCCCGUGGUUGGGAAUCCAUCUGCCAGUGCAGGGAAGAUGGGUUUGAUCCCUGAUCUGGGAA